AGUGACAGUGGAGAAUAUCUCUGUAACAUGUCAACACCUCACUACACAAAACUCACAGUGAGAACUUUGGAAGUUGAACAUUCAGAUAACACUUGGAAAACUGUGACAUUACUUGUACUGGUGCUGAUAGGACUGGCAGUAAUAGGACUGGCAGCGAUAGGGGUCUGUCUCUGUCGCAAGGUACGUACAAACAUUAUGGUAUUUACUUUUGAGCAUACUAUUAAGCUGAAUUUCAGACCUUGAAUGUUUGACCAAAACAGAUUUGAUUUUCAUGGGAUAAAGGAUGCAAACAACACUGAAAAACUUAGAAUAACGAAUCUCAGCUUAAGUAAACUGCCCUAUUUUUUCUAUAUUCUGUGUCCAAAAAGCCCUCCUUAGCACAUCUAGGCAAUAGUAUUUUAGUUGUAACAAUGCUAACAUGCCCUUUCCUUGACCAGAUUGCUCUCCUGCACUCUAUAGAAAGAUGAAAAAAAUUGAUUACCUGUCACAAAUACUUGCUGAUAGCUUGCUUUGAAAAUAAUCAGUUUUGUAAUUUUCUCUCACAUUUAUUUAAGACAAAUAAAACCAGCAAAGAUCCCCA
rnacentral:lncRNA from 1 species